GAUGAACCAAGUGAAUCUCUCAUA
rnacentral:siRNA from 1 species